AGAUAAUCUCUGCCUUUAGGCUAAGAUCAAGUGUAGUAUCUGUUAUUGUCCGUUUAAAAUCUGAACAACAUUUUAGAACGGGAAAUUGGAAAAUGGGCUUAAUCUGU
rnacentral:snRNA from 1 species